AUGUUUUUGCCACAUAUAGAAGAAUAUCUGCAGUGUAUUGGAAUGAAAAUUACUAGAUCCCUGAAGGUACCAAGAAGAUUUACCUGCCCUGACCAGCCUCAUGUGGGGACUCCAUUGAAGCUCAGGCAUGGGCACUUCCCACUUGCCUAAGUGAUGCUGACCUGUUCUACCUACUAUUCUGCCUUUCUGACUGGGAUUAAUAGAUGAACUGAGAUUAUGAUUAAAAUUUAUGUUGAGUCCUGUCUCUGGCUCAGUCUCCUGCUGUUUUUGACUGGUCUUCCUGUCUGGACUGUGGACCAUAUUCAUUGUUGUGCCUUGUCUGGAAUGGUCAUUAGGACCUGUUGCUAACACCCCUUCUCAGGUUCUUUGGGACCACAGUCCGUGGGAGUGUCACUGCCCAGGCUGGUAUUUCUGUCCCAGAUAGAGCUAUUUCUAGUGCAAGACAGCAAGAAUAAUUUUUCUGAGAAAAAUAUUUUAAAGUUAAACAUAUAUAAAUUAGAAAUACAAAAAUACUUUUUAAUUAUUAUUAUAAUUAAAAUUAUUAUUAUUUAAUUAUUUAAUUAAAUUAUUAUUGUUAAAUUAUUAUUAUUAAAUUUAAAUCAUUAUAAUUAUUAUAUAGCAUCUGCUAAUGCUAGUAGCAGUUACAC
rnacentral:lncRNA from 1 species